rnacentral:rRNA from 1 species
AAAACCAAUGCCUUCGGGCUCUUUGGUGAAUCAUAGUAACUUCACGAAUCGCAUAGCCUUGUGCUGGCGAUGGUUCAUUCAAAUUUCUGCCCUAUCAACUUUCGAUGGUAGGAUAUAGGCCUACCAUGGUUUCAACGGGUAACGGGGAAUUAGGGUUCUAUUCCGGAGAGGGAGCCUGAGAAACGGCUACCACAUCCAAGGAAGGCAGCAGGCGCGCAAAUUACCCAAUCCCGACACGGGGAGGUAGUGACAAUAAAUACUGAUACAGGGCUCUUUUGGGUCUUGUAAUUGGGAUGAGUACAAUUUAAAUCCCUUAACGAGGAACAAUUGGAGGGCAAGUCUGGUGCCAGCAGCCGCGGUAAUUCCAGCUCCAAUAGCGUAUAUUAAGUUGUUGCAGUUAAAAAGCUCGUAGUUGAACUUCGAACCUGGCUGGGUGGUCUCCUUCACGGUACGUACUGCCCGGCCGGGUUCUACCUCUUGGUGAGCCGCAUGCCCUUUACUGGGUGUGUCGGGGAACCAGGACUUUUAC